rnacentral:rRNA from 1 species
AGAGUUUGAUCCUGGCUCAGAUUGAACGCUGGCGGCAUGCUUUACACAUGCAAGUCGAACGGCAGCACGGGGGCAACCCUGGUGGCGAGUGGCGAACGGGUGAGUAAUAUAUCGGAACAUAUCCGGAAGUGGGGGAUAACGUACCGAAAGGUACGCUAAUACCGCAUAUGCCCUGAGGGGGAAAGGGGGGGAUCGCAAGACCUCUCGCUUUCGGAGUGGCCGAUAUCGGAUUAGCUAGUUGGUGAGGUAAAGGCUCACCAAGGCGACGAUCCGUAGCUGGUCUGAGAGGACGACCAGCCACACUGGAACUGAGACACGGUCCAGACUCCUACGGGAGGCAGCAGUGGGGAAUUUUGGACAAUGGGCGAAAGCCUG